rnacentral:rRNA from 1 species
CCUGGCGGCCAUAGCGGCGUGGAACCACCCGAUCCCAUCUCGAACUCGGACGUGAAACGCGCCAGCGCCGAUGAUAGUGUGGGGUCUCCCCAUGCGAACGUAGGUCACCGCCAGGCACCCAUUGCCCCGAACGCCCUCGCCCUCACCCGGCCAGGGCGUUCGGCUUUUCAGGGCACCCGCAACCCCCCGCCGCCUCGCCCCCGC